GUAUGUGAGUAAUAACCUGGAGAUUGCAAGUUUGUAGAACACUCUAUAUGUGCUCAUCUUCCCAUUUGUACUUUCUGAACUGUAGCAGGCUUCACAAUAGAUUAGUCGAGAUACACCUGAACAACACCAUUUAAAAAGUUCUAGGGCGGGGUAGGGAAUUGUGGAUGGGUAAUCAUUGCCCGGAGAACUGUAUUAACUGAAUUUGAGGUGACUUACUACUUAUUGUUUGACCUUCCGACAGAAAAAAAAGAAACCAAAAAGAGAUUCAGCGUCUAGUGUUUUACCGAAAACAAUAUUCCAUUUCUUUUAAUUUG
rnacentral:lncRNA from 1 species